GUGUCAGCCGCCGCGGUAAUACGAAGGGGGCAAGCGUUACUCGGAUUUACUGGGCGUAAAGCGUGCGUAGGCGGCUAUGUAAGUUGGAAGUGAAAGCCUAGGGCUCAACCCUAGAAUGGCUUUCAAAACUGCAUAGCUAGAGUAUUAGAGAGGAUAGCAGAAUUCCUAGUGUAGAGGUGAAAUUCGUAGAUAUUAGGAGGAAUACCGGAAGCGAAAGCGGCUAUCUGGCUAGUUACUGACGCUGUUGCACGAAAGCGUGGGGAGCAAACAGGAUUAGAUACCCUGGUAGUCCACGCAGUAAACGAUGAGUGCUAGAUAUCGGGACUUUAGUUUCGGUGUCAAAGCUAACGCGUUAAGCACUCCGCCUGGGGAGUACGGUCGCAAGAUUAAA
rnacentral:rRNA from 1 species